UACGGGGGGAGCAGGCGUUGUUCGGAUUUACUGGGCGUAAAGGGCUCGUAGGCGGCCAACUAAGUCAGACGUGAAAUCCCUCGGCUUAACCGGGGAAUUGCGUCUGAUACUGGAUGGCUUGAGAUUGGGAGAGGGAUGCGGAAUUCCAGGUGUAGCGGUGAAAUGCGUAGAUAUCUGGAGGAACACCGGUGGCGAAGGCGGCAUCCUGGACCAACACUGACGCUGAGGAGCGAAAGCCAGGGGAGCAAACGGG
rnacentral:rRNA from 1 species